rnacentral:rRNA from 1 species
AUUGAACGCUGGCGGCAGGCCUAACACAUGCAAGUCGAGCGGAUGAGAGGAGCUUGCUUCUCGAUUCAGCGGCGGACGGGUGAGUAAUGCCUAGGAAUCUGCCUGGUAGUGGGGGACAACGUUUCGAAAGGAACGCUAAUACCGCAUACGUCCUACGGGAGAAAGCAGGGGACCUUCGGGCCUUGCGCUAUCAGAUGAGCCUAGGUCGGAUUAGCUAGUUGGUGAGGUAAUGGCUCACCAAGGCGACGAUCCGUAACUGGUCUGAGAGGAUGAUCAGUCACACUGGGACUGAGACACGGUCCAGACUCCUACGGGAGGCAGCAGUGGGGAAUAUUGGACAAUGGGCGACAGCCUGAUCCAGCCAUGCCGCGUGUGUGAGGAAGGUCUUCGGAUGGUAAAGCACUUUAAGUUGGGAGGAAGGGUUGUAGAUUAAUACUCUGCAAUUUUGACGUUACCGACAGAAUAAGCACCGGCUAACUCUGUGCCAGCCGCCGCCGUAAGAC